rfam:Ovis aries breed Texel chromosome 6, whole genome shotgun sequence.
UCCCAUUUGGCUCAGAUGGUAAAGAAUCUGCCUGCAAUGCAGGAGACCCAGGUUCAAUCCCUGGGUUGGGAA